UAAAGUUGAUUACGUGAAAGGCAAGCGAAAAAUCUUCAUGGUUUCGAGUCGUCUGGUUAGUGCUGCUGAGUACCGUUUUAAAGAUUUAGUUGAGGACAUAACAAGUAGCUGCACGAAACUGAAUUAUUUGAAUGAAACGACCAUUAGACUGCGUUAUUUAGACUACGACGUUGCCAUUGGACGUCAAAACUUUGUGUCGCGACUUGCGUGGUGUAGUGUUCAACUGGGCAGCCCUGGCGUGGGGAGGGUCGGGUGUAGUCUGAGCUCGGUUAGUUAUUAAUUAAUUUUAUUACGGUCAAUCGGAGGCUAAUGAUCGACGUCGACGACAUGGUGAGCAAAUGUCGGAAAUCGAGCAGGCUUUUGAGGUGGUUGAGGUGGGCAAUUGCACUGAUUUUUGGCUUGGCUCUUAUGCGUUUACCGAACUUUAACAUGCCCGAAGCUGGGAGGUGAGCAAAAUUUGGAAGUGGUAGAAAUUUGACGAAGUUCUGGAGGCUUUCGGCCCAGACGGUCGUGGAAGUUGCACGCCCUGUGUUUUUCCUUUGCCUUUGCCUUUGCCCCGCAAAAUCACUCGAGACAACACAGAAAAACGAAAAUCUGUCAGGUGGACAAGGGAAUCGAUCACAGGUCUGAUCACAUUCUACAGGUACAUUGCAUACUGCACCUUUAAUUUUUAUGUUGUCCUUUAGGCAUGACCACAAUCUUCUCAAAUACUAUUUGUUAAGCUAUUAGUAUUUGUUCUAGUUUUUCUAGUGAGAAUAGUUCUGUGGGUAUUUCAUCCACAUACAUAUUUUCACUACAGCCUGACAUGGUAAUUUUCCUUUUAUGACCUUUGAAUGACAUGUGUUACAUAUCUACUGUUUUCCAUCAAAUGACUGUUGAAUAUUGAAAUAUGUUAGGCAAGGGUACUUCUUAUUUAUGCAUGUUAUUACUGAUUUCUUUUAAAGUAUUUGAUUACAGACAGUACAUAUGAAAUAAGGGCCUUCUCUUAUUUUCCUCUUCAACUGGUUAAUACACAAUUCAACCAAUCUGGCUUUCACUAGUUUCUCAUUGUGUUGGGAAAGUAGUUCUUUCUUCUUUGUAGCAUCCAUAGUUGAAUAUUUUCCUUCAAUGUCUUCUAGAAACCUUUUUUAGGGAACAGGUUCCAUGCUGUCAUACAUAAAUCUUUUUCUGUGUUUUCUCAUACAGCAUUUCCUUUCAAUUUCAGUAAUUUUACAUGAACAGCAAAUAAAUUGUAUAUCCUAUUUCAUAGUCAUUCCUAUUUACUCUCAACAUUAUUAAUUUCCUCUACUAGAUUAUUUACACCACAAAUGUGUUUUGUCUGUUUCAUUGCAGGUGAAUGACCGGACUGUCUUCAUAUGUCAGAAGAGAAAACAAUUGCUUUACUUUUAUAUUUUGUUGAUAAAUACAAGCUACACAGUAACUUGAAAUCCACAUUAAAAAGCCUGUUUUCCCAGUGUGGUUCUCAAAAUCAAGGUCUCUAGAGAUAUCCUCCUUUCAGUUAAAUUACUUAAUUCUCUGUGACUUACUUCAUUAACAUGUACAUUUAUCUUAGUGCCAAAAAUUGUAACACCAUCAGGCAGGGUAACAGGUGUUAAACAGUGCUUACUGUGCAUUGCAUUGUUAAGCUGAGAUCCUGAUUUUCAAUGAUUGCAUCUAAGGUAUUUGAGUUCCAGUAACUACAAGGCAAAAUGAUCAAGUAACAUAAAGAAUAAAGAACUACUGCAAAACAGUGGUCUUUGUAACA